GGAGCAGCACAGACGAUCGCUGAAUAAUCUCUAUGAUUCAGAGGAAAGUCCGAACACCAUAGGGCAGGGUGCUCCAUAACGUGGAGUCGUGGUAACGCGAAGGAAAGUGCAGCAGAAAGUAUACCGCCUCGCAGUGAUGCGAGGUAAGGGUGAAAAGGUGCGGUAAGAGCGCACCAGUUUCCCGGGUGACCGGGAAAGCUUUGUAAACCCCACCUGGUGCAAGACCAAAUAGGGGAGUGUUUGAGGACGGCCCGUCCAAGCUUCCGGGUAGGUCGCAGGAGAUUCCGGGCAACCGGCGUCCUGAGAUGAAUGAUCGUUACCCGGUUUGGGGUAACCCGAACCGGACACAGAAUUCGGCUUACGGGCUGCUUCGGCC
rnacentral:RNase_P_RNA from 1 species